AGAGUUUGAUCCUGGCUCAGAAUCAACGCUGGCGGCGUGCCUCAGACAUGCAAGUCGAACGCGAAAGUCUCCUUCGGGAGACGAGUAGAGUGGCGCACGGGUGAGUAACACGUAGGUAAUCUACCUUUGAGUGGGGAAUAACGUCGGGAAACCGACGCUAAUACCGCAUAAUGCAGCGGCACCUUAUGGUGACAGUUGUUAAAGGAGCAAUCCGCUUAAAGAGGAGCCUGCGGCAGAUUAGCUAGUUGGUAAGGUAAUGGCUUACCAAGGCGACGAUCAGUAUCCGGCCUGAGAGGGCACACGGCCACACUGGCACUGAAACACGGGCCAGACUCCUACGGGAGGC
rnacentral:rRNA from 1 species